rnacentral:lncRNA from 1 species
GUGAGUAGGCAUACUGUAUAGUCAAAGUUGGUUAGCCAAGGCCUCAGAAGUGGGAAAAGUACCUAAAAUAUUGGUUUAUUAAUACUUGGUUGACAAAACCUUUUUUUGUGCUAUGGAGAAUGCAUUAUCUGGAGAAAAAAAAAGUCAAAAUCUACACAGACUGAAUCAAAACAAAUCUCUCUUAGGCACUGAUCUCAGAGAGGUUUGAAAUAUAAUUCAGCCUCUGCUUACGUUGUAAACAUGUAGCUCCUCUAAUUAUUGUACUUGAAACGUAAUAUGUCUGACAUUGUGAGGAAUUUAGACUGUAUUUGCCACAAAUGGUUGUUGUUUAAAGGCUUAGGUUCCCUUAUAUUGGUGGUGUGGUAUGUUGAUGAACUGACAGUAAACCUUACUGUCUAGAAAGUACAUUCAUUAGAUCGAGUAAGAGUUAUGAAGUAUUUACAUUUACAUAUGGCAAAUAAACUUAAAACUAGAUAGUUUGCAGUCUAGUUGGUGCAUUUCUGUCAUAUCGAAUGAAACAGCUGAUUAGAAAUAACUUACAACUCUGUACAAUUUCAGAGAGUAACACAUACCAGCGCAAUAGGCAAUUGUUUAACUCCAUGUUCUAUCAUUAAUCUGGAGAGGCGGUAUUCUGAACUGCUUUGAAGCUGAGGUGUUGUAGGGUGUUUGGGGUUGUGUGUUGUGAGCUGUGUAUAGUGUUUGGGGCUGUGUAGUUGUGUGUUUUGGACAGCGUGGUUGUGUGUUUUGGACUGUGUGGUUGUGUGUUUUGGACUGUGUGGUUGUGUGUUUUGGACUGUGUGGUUGUGUGUUUUGGACUGUGUGGUUGUGUGUCAGGGCGUGACAGGGGGUGUUUUUCUAUGUUUUGUAUUUCUAUGUUCAUGUUCUAGUUUUGUAUUUCUACGUUUGUUUUGUUUGGGAUGAUCUCCAAUUAGAGGCAGCUGGUCCUCGUUGUCUCUAAUUGGAGAUCAAAUCAAAUCAAAUAUAUUUAUAUAGCCCUUCUUACAUCAGCUGAUAUCUCAAAGUGCUGUACAGAAACCCAGCCUAAAACCCCAAACAGCAAGCAAUGCAGGUGUAGAAGCACGGUGGCUAGGAAAAACUCCCUAGAAAGGCCAAAACCUAGGAAGAAACCUAGAGAGGAACCAGGCUAUGAGGGGUGGCCAGUCCUCUUCUGGCUGUGCCGGGUGGAGAUUAUAACAGCACAUGGCCAAGAUGUUCAAAUGUUCAUAAAUGACCAGCAUGGUCAAAUAAUAAUAAUCAUAGUAGUUGUCGAGGGUGCAACAAGUCAGUAACACAAAAGUGUCAGUUGGCUUUUUCAUAGCCGAUCUUUGAGAGUAUCUCUACCGCUCCUGCUGUCUCUAGAGAGUUGAAAACAGCAGGUCUGGGACAGGUAGCACGUCCGGUGAACAGGUCAGGGUUCCAGCAGGUCUGGGACAGCAAGUCUGGGACAGGUAGCACGUCCGGUGAACAGGUCAGGGUUCCAUAGCUGCAGGCAGAACAGUUGGAACUGGAGCAGCAGCACGGCCAGGUGAACUGGGGACAGCAAGGAGUCAUCAAGCCAGGUAGUCCUGAGGCAUGGUCCUAGGGCUCAGGUCCUCCGAGAGAGAGAAAGAAAGAAAGAGAGAAAGAGAGAAUUAGAGAGAGC